rnacentral:rRNA from 1 species
GACGAACGCUAGCGGCGUGCUUAACACAUGCAAGUCGAACGGUAAGGCCCUUCGGGGUACACGAGUGGCGAACGGGUGAGUAACACGUGGGUGAUCUGCCCUGCACUUCGGGAUAAGCCUGGGAAACUGGGUCUAAUACCGGAUAGGACCCUGGGAUGCAUGUCCUGGGGUGGAAAGCUUUUGCGGUGUGGGAUGGGCCCGCGGCCUAUCAGCUUGUUGGUGGGGGGAUGGCCUACCAAGGCGACGACGGGUAGCCGGCCUGAGAGGGUGACCGGCCACACUGGGACUGAGAUACGGCCCAGACUCCUACGGGAGGCAGCAGUGGGGAAUAUUGCACAAUGGGCGCAAGCCUGAUGCAGCGACGCCGCGUGAGGGAUGACGGCCUUCGGGUUGUAAACCUCUUUCAGCACCGACGAAGCGCAAGUGACGGUAGGUGCAGAAGAAGGACCGGCCAACUACGUGCCAGCCGCCGCGGUAA